rnacentral:rRNA from 1 species
UACGGAGGAUCCGAGCGUUAUCCGGAUUUAUUGGGUUUAAAGGGUGCGUAGGCGGCGCAUUAAGUCAGUGGUGAAAGGUAACGGCUCAACCGGGACACUGCCAUUGAUACUGAUGUGCUGGAGUACAGAUGAAGUGGGCGGAAUGUGUCAAGUAGCGGUGAAAUGCUUAGAUAUGACACAGAACACCGAUUGCGAAGGCAGCUCACUAAAGUGUCACUGACGCUGAGGCACGAAAGCGUGGGGAUCGAACAGGAUUAGAUACCCUGGUAGUCC